rnacentral:rRNA from 1 species
UACGUAGGGUGCGAGCGUUAAUCGGAAUUACUGGGCGUAAAGCGUGCGUAGGCGGUCCGCGAAGUCUGAUGUGAAAGCCCCGGGCUCAACCUGGGAACUGCAUUGGAAACUAACGGGCUCGAGUGUGGCAGAGGGGGGUGGAAUUCCACGUGUAGCAGUGAAAUGCGUAGAGAUGUGGAGGAACACCGAUGGCGAAGGCAGCCCCCUGGGCUAACACUGACGCCUCAGGCACGAAAGCGUGGGGGAGCAAACAGGA